GGACAUGUGAGGCCAAAUCUUCUAUCAGGACACCCACGUCUCACCGUACCCGCACACGUGAUUUGAUUGUUUGUUAAGGUAAAAAAAGGAUCAGUUUUAAAGAUAGCCAAACGCCCCAGAGUGAAAGACUCAUGGGGGCUUUUAAGAAGUGCAGGUCGGUUUAGAUCUGUGGGAAGGGAAAGACGCUGCAAUUGCUUGUCAAAUCUUUGGGCAAAAUUAGUUUUAAGUACUUCCCUGCUUUGCCCUCUCUGCCUCUUUGACAAAGAGAUGUUCCUCACACGGAUGUGUGAUACCUGCUCUGUCUCUGCCUCUCUGUGCUGCCAGAUAUGCUCUGUGCCUUUUCGGAGUCGCCCAGCCCAUAAUCAUGCUCAAAUCCUGACCAGUGUUAUGGAAUGGAGAAGGUAGAACGGUGAGACAGCUCUGAUUUUGGAGAUACUGAAUGACUUGGAAAGGUUACAUGAAUUUGUGGCAGAGAAGGAAGCUGAGCACAAGGCUGGAUGUCACAGAGGCACAUUCAGUGCCAGCCCGUCUGCGUCCUCACUACUGUAACGUCUCAAGGACCCCUUGGAGCCAGCUCGGUGAAGGUUUAGAUGAUGUAUCGGGAAGAAAUGUUCUCCUGUGAGGGUGGGAGGCCCUGGCCCAGGGUGCCCAGAGCAGUGGGGGCUGCCCCAUCCCUGGAGGGGUUCCAGGCCAGGUUGGAUGGGGCUUGGAGCCCCUGAUCCAGUGGGAGGUGUCCCUGCCCAUGGCAGGGGUGGGACUGGAUGGGCUUUGAGGUCCCUUCCAACCCAAACCACUCUAUGAUUCUAUAAUUCCUAGCUGUGUUAUCUAAGGGAAAUAAUCUGUAUAAUGCUGUCAUAAAGGCCUCUUAGAAUACGGCUGUUUCUCCAUGGGAGGACAUUAUCACAUGGAAACCUAAACCCCUUGGCCAGCUGCUGCUCUGAAAACUGCUUAAUUUAUAAAUGCUCCAAUAACUGGUGUGUAGUCAACAUGUUUUUCUGUUUAUCGUUAAUUUAUUUAAGACUGUUUAUUCAUAGUUUCUGUGUCGCUUCAUUUGAAAGAGCCUGUACAUCUAGGGUGGAGGUUUAAGCCACGCAAGGUAAAACAUGGGGAUAAAGCUGAAGAAGGCAGAGGAACUUGUCAAAGCCUGUAGAGAAGAAGUGAGGAUAAUUAAUCAGACAAAUGGAGAUAGAGAGCAGGUGUGCAGAGGGAAUAGUCUGAUGGAACAAAAGGCAGUGGAAUGAAAAUGAAUGUCACAAGAGGUGAGUUUUUCUCUAUUUUAUAAAUUAUAAACCAUUGCAACAACAUUUUUCCUUGUCAACCAGUGUCUUUUGUCAACCAAUAUCUUUUAAAAAAUAGCCUUACAAACAUUAAUCAAAGCAGUAGGAUUUUAAAUGUUUUUUUUAAUAGCAAAACAUUUAUUUAGUGUAAAUACAUUGGUUCAAUAUUGACCAUUUAAGCAAUAGGAUGCGAAGCCCAUAAAUUCCAGCAAAUGACCAAAAUAUUUUAUGUGGAAAAGUAGUUUCUGUAAUAUGGGGGAAGGAAAUACUUUAGAGAUGCUAAACUGGGGAGAGGAAGGAAAAUGUAGGGCAAGGGCAAAACCAGUUUUCCCUUCACAUGUUUGUAAACCAAACAUUGCAGUAUUUAGGUCAGUACAACAGACAAAAAAUACAGUUUUAGAAGUCCAAGUGAGUGGCUGAGGUUCGUAUGCAAACAGUCUAAGGUCAAUCCUCCCUUUUCUCUGUGCAACAAAGUAGUGUCGCCUCCUUCUCCAGGGAGGGAGAGUGGCGACAGCCCCAAAGGCCAUUGACAUGGGAAUACGUUUGCUGCUUUUGCAAAGCGAAGCAGCCGGUAUCGCUUUCUGCUUUGAGAUGGGAGGGAGAUGCCCUGUGAUCCCCUGUUUACUUUGCAGUUCCGGCACAGAGCUGCGGAGGAGCCUGUUGCUGCAUUGAGGCUUCUCAGGUGUUUCUGCCUCUUUUCCCGGCUCUGAGUUAUUUUCCUCUCUGAACCCUUUUGCAGUUCCCUGGAGGUCAGAACGCUGGGAAACACAGAAGGUUUGCAGAGCAGGUGGAAAGGGCUGGCUUGCUUAGAUGGUGGAAAGGAAAAAUUUGGAGGAGUACGAUGGAAUGAAUAAAAAGAAACAGGAAGGAAGGAAACUUUGGGGAUACAAAGACCACGAUCCUGCAGCUCUGUAUCAUCUCCGGUGGUAACGCACCUGAGCUGCUUCCCUGUGCUCGGACUAACGUGAACGCCUGCUUCUUUCCUUGCAGCUGGUCCUCUGUCCGAAGGGACCAGGCAGGGCGGACUGCAGCGAUGUCACAGCAUAGCUGGAGACACCAGUUCUUGCCAAAGGAAUAAGGUUCUUUAGUAAUAACUGUCAGAAAUACCAUCCGGGUCUGCCCAGCGCGUGUAGAGCAAACCUAUAAAUGGAGUUUACAUUCCAGUUCCAUUAAAAAAGUAAUGCUUUUGCAUCAAGUAAGAAACAAGUGAGUGUUCAGUUCCGAGCACUGACCUUGGGAGCGUGACACCCGGCAGACAUUUCAGGGAGCAUCCGUGGACAGCUGUGCCCAACAGAUCCUGGCAGGGACGCGGUGCAUCCUGCCAGCGCGUGUGGCACGUGUAGCAGCAGAGUUGUUGCCAGGAACAGAGUCCAUGUACGUGUUCCCCAGCUCAUGGAUUAUAGAAACUUGUUGGAGAAGGAGGGAGAUGGGCAGGGGAUGGCGCUGGCGGUGGGCACUGAGGGAAGGAUCAGGCACUCUGGCAGUGGUGGUGGUGGUGGCAGUGAUUCAUUGUUCUUCGCAAGGACAAACUCCUGUGUCGGUCACUUCCUUUCGAUUUGCACAUUGGUGAGGCUGCACCUCAAAUCCUCCGUUCACUUUUGGGCCCCUCACUACAUUGAGGGGUGGGAAUUUGUCCAGAGAAGAGGAACGGAGCUGGGGAGCGGCUGGAGCACAAACCUUGUGAGAGGCGGCUGAGGGCCCUGGGGCUGCUCAGCCUGGAGAAAAGGAGGCCGAGGGGAGACCUCAUCACUCUCCACAGCUCCUGAAAGGAAAGUGUGGUGAGGUGGGUGCUGGGCUCUUCUCCCAAGUGGCAGGUGAUAGGAUGAGAGGGAAUGGCCUCAAGCUGCGCCAGGGCAGGUUCAGAUUAGUUGUUAGGAAAAAUUUCUUCACUGGAAGGGCUCUCGGGCCCUGGCAGAGGCUGCCCAGGGAGGUGGUGGAGUCCCUGUCCCUGGAGAGGUUUAAAAGCCGGGCAGGUGAGGAGCUCGGGGAUGGUUCAGUCGUGGAUGGGUACAGUUGGACUCAAUGGAAAGUUUUUUUCCAUCCAAGCGAUUCUAUGAGUCUGUGGUAUUUUUAGAGUACAGUUGUAUUCAAGCUCAAAAUUACUUUCAUUUGUGAUUGUAUUUAUUGUGGUUUUCGUUUUAUUUUGGUUUUAGGUUUCAUUUGAUUUGGGGGUGAAAUUACUGAUGGCAGUAAUAUUUUAAUGGUCGUUCUUAUGCCACACUUGAAAAUCCGUGUGUCUGUCGUUCCUGUGUUGUUCUAGCUGAUUAGAAUGGCUUUUCUCCCCUGGCCUGCUAGCGGGCUGGCGUCACCGGCAGUGCUCAGCCGGGUAGAAACCAUCACGGGGCAGGCGGCAGUGGCACACAAUUCUUGUAAAUAAUACCUAAUAAAUCUGAGGGAGCAAACAAGAUUUGCUGAGUUUGUCUUGCAGACAUGUGGAGUUGGAAGGCUUCUCACUGCCUGGUUCUCUUUUCCCUCUGUGUCAGAGAGAGGAGAUUUAUCUUCAUACCAGCAUGAGCAGUGAUCUUACAGAAUCACCUAGAAACGCAGGAGAUUGCCAGCUGCUCUUGCUCAGGCGUGUUUAACCACUGACUCAAGUGGUGAGUUGCUGGACAGUCUGGUAGGUUGUGUUCCUACUGCAGGAAAGAAAACGCACUGACAAAUGAGAAUUCCGAAAAAGGUGACAUCCCAAGUUGUCUAAACUCUCUAAAACUAACAGCAUUCCUUUAAAAAAAAAAAAGUAUAAAUUAAAUAAAAAGGCAGACAGUCAUGAGGGGGAGGUCAUGAGGUUUGUGCAAACGUGGGGCAGGAGAUCUUUAUGUACCUGAAGUUCCCUGGUUCCUCCAGUACCUGAAGGGGCUACAAGAACCUGGGGGGACUUUUUACUAAGGCCGAGGUAGUGACAGGAGGAGAGGGAAUAGGUGUAAACUGGAGAGGGGCAGAUUUAGACUGGACGUAAGGAGGAAUUUCUUAUAGCUGAGGGUGGGGAGGCCCUGGCCCAGGGUGCCCAGAGCAGUGGGGGCUGCCCCAUCCCUGGAGGGGUUCCAGGCCAGGUUGGAUGGGGCUCGGAGCCCCUGAUCCAGUGGGUGUCCCUGCCCAUGGCAGGGGUGGAAAUGGAUGGGCUUUGAGGUCCCUUCCAGCCCAAACCAUUCUGUGAUUCUAUGAUUCUAUGGCUGAGAGGAUAUCCAUUGAAGAUGCAUAGAUUUGGACGAUGUCCAGUAUGUUUUUGUAGUGUUUGUCACACAUUUCUGGUGUUUCUUUGUGUAAGGUGGGCAGUACGUUCACUCUUACUUCUUAACUUCCUCGGAUGCUGUAAGGUGGAAUAUUUGCCAAGCUUUCCUUUUUGUUUUAUGAUUUAAAUUUACAUCGCUAAAAGUGUGAAUUUUAUAGAUUGGAGUUUCUCUUUCUCAGUAAAACACAGGGAACUGCGUGUUUGUAUGUAUGUAUGGAGAUCUAUGUACAUGCAUUGAAAUGUGGGGGCUCCAGUCCUUGCCGUGCCUGUCUGGCUUUGGCAGGAACGGAGCUGACAGCCGUAAACGCAGCCACAGCAGGUGAGUGCUGGGUGUGCGGUGUUUGGCAAAAGAAGGUGACUUCUAGAGCUUAAGCAAAUCUGAAAAGUAGUCAUGAACCACAGCAGAGCUUAAUUCGGGGGGCUCAUUACUGAGAAUCCAGUAAGUCUUGUGCUUUUAGCUCAAUUCUCUCUAAGUGAAUUAACGUCUACUGAAAUAAGUGUGUGUGUAGGAACAGUUCUGCUUAAAAUUCAUCCAGUGUUUUAAUCUGAUUCAACCUGGUGGAUAGACAACCAAUAAUUUUCUCUUAUCUUGAAUAAUUCUGUAUGUGCAUAACAUUGUAGGGUAAAAUAAAUAAGCUUACUUUUUUAUUUGGCUGUUUUUAUUUUGGCAUUAAAAACAGUAGUCAUGAAUAUACAGCAGCAUUCUCGCACCUUUCUGUGCUACCUCUCUGCAUCUUCCCCAUCAACAGCAUUAAAAGGAAAUGAUUAUGGUUCCUUUUAUGCUCCUCUUUCACUGAUUAUUUAGAGCUAGCAGAGAUUAUUAUCUGAAGACUCAGCUUGAUAGUGAUCCCUUCUUGUUAAUCUGCUGGUCUUGAAAAUGAAUUCGGAUUAGGAAAGCAGCCCUUUAUCAUGAGUAAUCAAAGCUCACAAGGAGGUUACCUACGCACCUCUUUGUGGUCAUUUCUUGUCGACAGGUUUGGCCGGAAGGAUUUUACUAUUACAUUUUUCUGCAUCUGUUUUGUUUGGCUUUUCUCUUAUUCCUGCCCCACAGCUCAAAUCAGCCGAUAAUCUUUUCCACAUUAUUCUAAUUAUUCUUCUAAGUUUCUCUUUCCUCGCUCUUUUUUGCCCCCCCGUCAUAUCUGGUCUAAUCUUUAUUAAUAAGCAUUUUGUAGCUUCAGAGUGCUUUCAGGAACAGUAAGUUGUUUAUAAAGUACAUGUUAGGCAAGUUGGGCACUGCUGAGGAAAAUAAGAAUUAAUUUGCCUCGGGGGACUUUUGGUGCGCAGACCAGGGCUAAAAAUCUCUUCCUGACCUUCCAUUUUGUGAUUCAGGUGGCGCUUCCAUUUUUCUUUCCUGCCUUCUCAGCUUUAUUUCUCUGCCCUGUAUUCCUUUUCCUUUCCUCCCUGCAUAAAUUCCUCUUGCAUCCACUCACAGAGCGGCCCCUCUGAGCGGACCUUCGCCGGGCGGCUUUAGAGCCCCGUCACAAGGCUGCUCAGGAAGUGCUGACUCAGCACAGAAAGUAGUGGCAGUCACAAUAUUCAAUGAAAACUGUUGGAAUCUGCGCUGGGGCGAGACACGGCCACAGCUCCGAGCUGGCUGAUGAGCCUUGGCAGAAGCUUUGCUUAAUGAGGACGGUGCCCUCAGCCGGGGACGCUCCCUGCAGCUGCGGUUGCGCGCUUUGGGUGAACUCCCAUCCCGCGGUUUUCCUCUCCCCGCUGCGAAGGGCUUGUGAAACCAGGAUCCUGAGGACCGAAAACCCAAUUAGGCUGCGCUUCAAUUGGAGUUCGGUCAUGUGUCUGGUGACAAAGCCUCAGCCCCCAUUCUCCCACUGUGCACUGCAUGGCGGUGGUGCCGUCGGGUCUGCGGUGUUCUUUUUAGCUUCAGCAGGUAACGUUUUCACUGAAAAUUAAUGGUUCUCCUACCUGUUAACAAUCAGGCAGUGCCACUGGCAUCUGCUCAUCCUCACUUUGCCGGAAGAAAUAAAGGUUGUGGUUAAAGAGGUCCCCUCUGGUGUAAUUUUCUCUUGAAACCUAAAGAGUUCUUUUAAUUCUGCCAGGGAAAGCAAGGGCUUGGGAUACUUGGAAUUCCUUUCUUCAUGUUGGCUGCGUUGCAAGUUCACAAAUCUAAAAUAGAGGUUCUGUAGUAUCUCACAAGUAUUUACUGGAAGUGGCAUACAAAAAGGAAAGAAUUCAAGUACGGUUGAAUUUUUUUUUCUGUAUCUCUUAUCCAUCCAGGCAGCAACUUCCACUCCUGUAAAUUAGAGAGGAGAGAGAAAACUUUUCCACACACUUUGUGGUUCAAAUUCUGCGUUAUUAACCGAAGUUCAUAUGACAAGACAAAAACCAAUUAAGAACCACGUUGUCUGUCUCUCCUACUGUAAGGCAAAAAAAUAUGAGAAAUGGUUUAGGAAUGUAGAUCUCACCCUCCAGCUGGAACGGGGAUAGGCUGCCGCUCUGAGCCAGCCAAGAGAGGACAGGGGGUGUUUAAAAAAGGAAAUGCAAUUGUUGGUCGGCGACAGAUCUCGCACCACUCCAUGUGUUCUCUGCUGUGAAACCUGCUUUGAGGUGCCCGACCGGUUGUGCAGACAGCUGCGUCCCAGCUCCGAGGCUCAAAGCGGGAGGCAGGUGCGAUGCCCCUCUGCAUCCCCCGCGGCUCCAGUCCUUUAUGAGCGUCUCUCCUCUUAGAGCCGAUGAAUUAUUUCUGCAGGAAUUAACUUGUGGCUGCAUUGUAUCCUACACAAAUGCCUGAAGUACUCCCGGGGGAUUUGCAAUUACUUAAGCAUACAUAGAACUAAUAUUUUACUGAAAAACUAAUUUAUACCGAGACAUCAGAGCAGUAGUUGGUGAGCACUAGUAUUAAUAAAAAUGUUAUCUUCCUAUGCAUUCAGGUCUCAUUCGAGUGACCGCAAUAUCUAAUAUGAUGCAGGUUCAAAACGUCAUUUUCCUGUUCUGAGGGGUGUUUAUCCGUUCAUCGGGACUCGCUCUGCUGUGGCUGAGGUGGCAGGGACGGCGGCGUGUGCCCCUCUAACCGCCUGGUCCGUGGAUUUAUCAGAUCUGGAUGACUCCUCAAAUCAACCAACAGGUUGUGGGUGGAACAAACGGAAAAGGCAGGAGAGAGCAGUACUGUUUCAAGCGAAAUCUGUUUCCAUGGUUCAUUGUUUUGAUGGGAAAACAGACUGAAAAUGCCUGUUCAUUAUGUUUCCAUAACUUGAGAUUUGAAUGGAAUUUGGGGUUUUUUUGUGUGUGUUUGUUGCUCUGUUUCAGUAAAACCCCGGAACGGCAGUUUUGUUGUUCUAGGGCUUAGGAGGAGGCUCUGAGCUUGGGACAAGGAAACUGUGCCUGGCAGGAGCUUUCCUAAACCUGCAUUUGGGAUUCUGGUUUUCAAGCUCAAAAAUGUGGGUUUAUCUCUGUAAUGACAUUGGUAAUCAUCUGACUUCUUUAUCUCCCCUGGAAAUUGCUUUGUUGUCUGAAUGAAUGUGAAUAAACCCCACCAGCGAGGAUCCUAAGCCGCAGACACAGAAAGUGGCUUUGGGGGUUCUGCUCUCCGCAGCCUGCUGAGGGUGGGGCAGCCCGGUGGUUUGUUUGCUCUCUGCAGUUCCUCAGAGUACAGAGUUUAUUGUCAUUUUCUUCAUAAAGUCCUUUAUUUCACAAGAUACGUGUCAUUUUUGUUACAGUUACCGUGAAAAGUCAACUCCACAUCAAACUGCUGGGGAGUUGUAACCCAGGAAUUCCCCUGUACGCAGAAAUAAUGGAAGUGGAAUAUUCCUUCCUACUUCAAGCACAAACACCUCUAAGGUGAAUGGCUGUUUAUAAGGUGUGUGCCUUCUGUUAGGAGGACACCGUGGGCAGUACUGGAUUGGGAUAAAGCUGCAAGCGAAUUUGAGGUGGGGUGUAACCAUUGCUUAAGGGAAAACCAAAAUGCCAGAAAAUCUUCACUGGAUGUGCCAACUAACUGGCAUGGAAGCGUGCUUACACUUAAAGAAUUCCAAGUAAGCAGUUAUUUUGAGAUCUUUCGUUUCUGAUAACCCUCUCUCCGAUAUGGUUUAAAUCCUGCAGCCUGACUUUUGAAGGGAGUUUUAAGAACCUUCUAAAACUGCAGCGUGUCAUUUAAAUUCCAGCCACAUGUCACCAGAUUUGAAGUAGCACAUUGUCUUCUGCCUGACAGCGUGCACUGCUACUGUGCGGCCCUGCGGGAAUCCACUCUGUUAAAUCUCCAAGGAAAUAAAGACAAGAGGGACAUCCUGGGUCGGGAAACCAAGCCACCACAUAUCGUAUCGUAUCAUAUUGGUAUAAAUCUCUUUGGCACAGGGAUGAGGCUUAAUCUUAGAAAUUUAAGGCGGCCCUGAAGCUCCUCUUGGAAGGCUGUAGCAAAAUCUUAUUCCAGCUUUCAUUUUACUACAACCAGUUUCUGUCCAUGGAUUCAUGAUGCGAAUAUUAUUUAGCCUGGAUCGUUGUUUUCUCCUUUCCUUCUCACUUGUCUGAGUAAUCAUUCUCUUCUCAGCCUGUGUUUAGACAAGCCAGCCUUUCUGUUCUCCUUACAAAAGAGAGGCUUUCAAUUCCUCAUAUUUCUAUAGUAAUCCCUCAAACUGGUAUUGCAGAAAAGAAUUACUCAUAAAAACUGUAGCAUUGCUUUUGCUACCUGGAAUUGGGCAGUGGAGGCUUAGUUUGACAGAGUAAAGCUCGUGUGAUCCCCCGUCCAGUUAGACCAGCCAGCCUGGCCACCGCAGGAACGCGGGGGUUUCAGCUUUUUUCUUCUGGAUGGCCUGGGAAGAGAAGAAGUAAAUAUAUGUAGCCUCCAAAAUUGUUGAGUCGUUCUAGAUGUGUUUUGCCUCCAUACACCCUCUGUGGUUUAAAGGUGUCAUUUGCUUCAGGGCUUGUGUUCAGCGUCUGCUGGAGCCGGGGUGUGAUGCGUUGUCAGUCUGGUCUGCUGCUCAGCCAGCAAAUCCUCCAGGUGAAUCAGGGAAGGUUUAAUUCCAGAAAUGUGAAGAGCAGCAUAUGUGAGUGGUUUCUGCUGGUAAUGUUACAGUGUUUGGCUUUUGAAAGGAAUACCCAUAAUCAAUAACCAUAAUUUCUUGAACUGUCUAAUAAUCUCAUCCCCGUAUCCUUCCCAUCAGCCGGUUCUUGUCAUUGUGGUCAUUUCUGCGUGCUGUCCCUUUCUCUCUCUUAAGCCGUUCCCCGAGACCCCUUGCUGAAUAAGAACCUGGGAGCUGCCGUGUCUUAAUGCACAAAGUCCUUUUCCACUUUAUGCAAAAUUAUGUAAAGAAUAUGCAAAAUAAUUUAUGCAAAAAGAGACUAUGCAUGUGUGAUUAAAGAUUUAAGAGGGCCAGCUCAAAUCAAACCUUGUGGUUCUCAUCUGCUGGCUCCCCUUUUCCAUUGCUCGCUCCCUGAUAUUUGAAUUCUUGCUGCGAGUUACAGGUCGCCUUUGCAUGGCCACCGUCGUGAGCACUGGCAGGACCCAGGCAAGAUGAUAGGCUCCUCGGCUCUAAUUCCCCAUCCUUACUGUGAAUACUCUGAUGGAGAUUUACAUUUUGUCUAUCUAUCAAUCUGUAGAUUAAUCUAUAACGCAAUAAUAAACCGAUUCCUAUCACUAAACAGUGAAGAAUGGUGACUUCAAAGACUCAGACAACCGUAGUAAGUCUGCAAGUCGCAUGCUUGAGGCACUCAUCCUGUCUUUAAGCAUGGGCCAUCUGAAUGGAAUUCUUCUACCUGGGAGAAAAAACAGCCUGUGCUUCUCUCAGGAUGCGUGUGGUUCCUGUCAGCAUUAAUUGGAGCGCUGAGCAAAAUUCAUAAUGAAAAUAGACCCUGAAAAUUUGUGUUUCCAAAACCAGCAGUGCAGCGGAUUCUACAGGGGUGUGUUUGUAAUCGUGCCACGGUGGAACAAGCCCUGGAGCAAGCACAGAGACUUGGAGAUUUCCCACCUCCCUGGCAGCUUUCCUGGCUCAUUCAGCUGCGCUCCGAGCCCUGCCAGGUAACUGCACAAUACUCUCAGAAUAAAGCGUAUCCAGCAGCAAACAAGAGGCACAAUAGUGAGAUUUCCCCCUUUCCUUCAUCUCGCAGAGGUAUAUUUAACCCUUCUGCUGUGGGGAAAGGCCAUUAUGUGGGUGGGAUACGACGUCAAAGAUCCUUUUAAGUAUUACCGACACAUUGGCUUUUGGCUGCACGAUUGCUCUGUCUUUAAAUUCUGACUGCAGGAGUUUCAAAUACAAAUACCUAAAGGCCUUUUUAGCAGCAGAUCUUCCCUUUUUGUAAGCCUG